rnacentral:rRNA from 1 species
UACAUGGGGUGCAAACGUUGCUCGGAAUUAUUGGGCGUAAAGCGCACGUAGGCGGUUCGUUAAGUCGGAUGUGAAAGCCCUCGGCUCAACUGAGGAAGUGCACCCGAAACUGGCGAGCUUGAGUACGAAAGAGGAUCGCGGAAUUCCCGGUGUAGAGGUGAAAUUCGUAGAUAGUCGGGGAGGAACACCCGGGUGGCGAAGGCGGCGAUCUGGGUCGAGUAC